CCGGUUCCCGCACGACAACUUGCUGCGAGACCUGUCACUUCCCCACCUUGCCCUGUCCUUUCCCCUCCCUGGCGCUCGCGCCUCCUCCUUUCUUCCUGCUCCCCGGCACCGAGCUCCCCUCGACGUUGCUCACGUGCCAGACCCGGGGCCGCGAGCGGCGUCCGCACCCGCGCGCACACCCGGCCCCACUCGCACUCGCCCGGCUUCGGGGCGCGCUGCUUACCUCCGGGGCCUCAUGGUCGUGUCGCUAGCCCGGGUGGGAGCGGGAGAGAGGGUAGAGAAAGAGAGCACAAGCAGGGGGAGCAGCAGGGAGAGGGAGAAGAAGGCUCUCUGUGGAGCAAGGAGCCCAGUGCAGGACUCCAUCCCAGGACUUCGGUACCAUGACCUGAGCCGAAAGCAGACACUUAACUGACUGAGCAACCCAGGUAAUAAACAUUCACAUGGGACCUGUCAAAAAAUGCUGGAACAGAAACAGAAUGAAGUAGAAGAUGUGUAUUACAGCUGAAGAGCACACUUCAGAAGAACAAAAUUUUACAUAAUUGCCUUGAUUCCCAAAGAGAUUAAAGAAAUUAUGAGCUCAGCAAAGUAAGAAAAGACCAUGUAAAAUAACCCUAUCUCUGACCCAUCAUAUAAUCUUGACUGGAACAAAAAAAUAAAAUCUCUUGUGUGUUU